GCCUGGGUGGCUCAGUCGGUUGAGCAGCUGACUUCAGCUCAGGUCAUGAUCUCGCAGUCUGUGAGUUCGAGCCCCGUGUCGGGCU
rnacentral:tRNA from 1 species